CCUACGGGAGGCAGCAGUGAGGAAUAUUGGUCAAUGGACGAGAGUCUGAACCAGCCAAGUAGCGUGAAGGAUGACUGCCCUAUGGGUUGUAACCUUCUUUUAUAAAGGAAUAAAACGAGGCACGUGUGCCUUUUUGCAUGUACUUUAUGAAUAAGGAUCGGCUAACUCCGUGCCAGCAGCCGCGGUAAUACGGAGGAUCCGAGCGUUAUCCGGAUUUAUUGGGUUUAAAGGGAGCGUAGAUGGGUUGUUAAGUCAGUUGUGAAAGUUUGCGGCUCAACCGUAAAAUUGCAAUUGAUACUGGCAGUCUUGAGUACAGGUGAGGUAGGCGGAAUUUGUGGUGUAGCGGUGAAAUGCGUAGAUAUCACGAAGAACCCCGAUUGCGAAGGCAGCUUACUAAACUGUGACUGACAUUGAUGCUCGAAAGUGUGGGUAUCAAACAGGAUUAGAUACCCGUGUAGUC
rnacentral:rRNA from 1 species